rnacentral:rRNA from 1 species
AAUCAACGCUGGCGGCGUGCCUAACACAUGCAAGUCGAACGCGAAAGGGGCUUCGGCCCUGAGUAGAGUGGCGAACGGGUGAGUAACACGUGGGUGAUCUACCUUCGAGUGGGGGAUAACGUCCCGAAAGGGACGCUAAUACCGCAUGACGCUCUGGGUUUAAAGACCUGGAAACCAAAGCCGGGGACCGCAAGGCCUGG